CGGCGUGCCUAACACAUGCAAGUCGAACGAGAAAGUGGAGCAAUCCAUGAGUACAGUGGCGUACGGGUGAGUAACACGUGACUAACCUACCCUCGAGUGGGGAAUAACUUCGGGAAACCGAGGCUAAUACCGCAUAACAUCUACGGAUCAAAUGCGCAAGCAGCUUGAGGAGGGGGUCGCGGCUGAUUAGCUAGUUGGCGGGGUAACGGCCCACCAAGGCAAUGAUCAGUAGCCGGCCUGAGAGGGCGCACGGCCACACUGGAACUGAAACACGGUCCAGACUCCUACGGGAGGCAGCAGUGGGGAAUUUUGCGCAAUGGGGGAAACCCUGACGCAGCAACGCCGCGUGGAGGAUGAAGCCCCUUGGGGUGUAAACUCCUUUCGAUCGGGACGAUUAUGACGGUACCGGAUGGAGAAGCACCGGCUAACUCUGUGCCAGCAGCCGCGGUAAUACAGAGGGUGCAAGCGUUGUUCGGAAUUAUUGGGCGUAAAGGGUGCGUANGCGGUGCGGUAAGUCUUCUGUGAAACCUCCGGGCUUAACU
rnacentral:rRNA from 1 species